UGCGCAGGUGGGCUUGUAAGUCAGUGGUGAAAUACUGCCGCUUAACGGUAGAACUGCCAUUGAUACUGCAGGUCUUGAAUAUGGUUGAGGUAGGCGGAAUGUGUCGUGUAGCGGUGAAAUGCAUAGAUAUGACACAGAACGCCGAUUGCGAAGGCAGCUUACUAAGCCAUUAUUGACGCUGAGGCACGAAAGCGUGGGGAGCGAACAGGAUUAGAUACCCUGGUAGUCC
rnacentral:rRNA from 1 species